UGGGGAAUAUUGCACAAUGGGCGAAAGCCUGAUGCAGCAACGCCGCGUGAAGGAAGAAGGCCUUGGGUCGUAAACUUCUGUCCUUGGGGAAGAAGAACUGACGGUACCCAAGGAGGAAGCCCCGGCUAACUACGUGCC
rnacentral:rRNA from 1 species